UACGUAGGGUGCGAGCGUUAAUCGGAAUUACUGGGCGUAAAGCGUGCGCAGGCGGUUCGUUGUGUCGGCGGUGAAAGCCCCGGGCUUAACCUGGGAAUGGCCGUUGAAACUGGCGAACUGGAGUGUGGCAGAGGGGGGUGGAAUUCCGCGUGUAGCAGUGAAAUGCGUAGAGAUGUGGAGGAACACCGAUGGCGAAGGCAGCCCCCUGGGAUGACACUGACGCUCAUACACGAAAGCGUGGGGAGCAAACAGG
rnacentral:rRNA from 1 species